GAUGAACGCUGGCGGCGUGCUUAACACAUGCAAGUCGAACGGUGAAGGCGGAGCUUGCUCUGCUGGAUCAGUGGCGAACGGGUGAGUAACACGUGAGCAAUCUGCCCCUGACUCUGUGAUAAGCGCUGGAAACGGCGUCUAAUACUGGAUACGAUCUUCUAAGGCAUCUUCAUCAGCUGGAAAGAAUUUCGGUCCGGGAUGUGCUCGCGGCCUAUCAGCUUGUUGGUGAGGUAAUGGCUCACCAAGCCGUCGACGGGUAGCCGGCCUGAGAGGGGGACCGGCCACAAUGGGACUGAGAGACGGCGCAGAAUCCUACGGGAGGCAGCAGUGGGGAAUAUUGCACAAUGGGCGAAAGCCUGAUGCAGCAACGCCGCGUGAGGGACGACGGCCUUCGGGUUGUAAACCUCUUUGAGCAGGGAAGAAGCGAAAGUGACGGUACCUGCAGAAAAAGCGCCGGCUAACUACGUG
rnacentral:rRNA from 1 species